UACGAGGGGAGCUAGCGUUGUUCGGAAUUACUGGGCGUAAAGGGCGUGUAGGCGGUACCAUAAGUCAGAUGUGAAAGCCCUGGGCUUAACCUAGGAUGUGCAUUUGAUACUGUGGAACUAGAGAUCGGGAGAGGAAAGUGGAAUUACGAGUGUAGAGGUGAAAUUCGUAGUUAUUCGUAAGAACACCAGUGGCGAAGGCGACUUUCUGGCCCGAUACUGACGCUAAGGCGCGAAAGCGUGGGGAGCAAACAGG
rnacentral:rRNA from 1 species